rnacentral:lncRNA from 1 species
UGCUUAGUCAUCUUUUCAUCUGGCUUUAUCUUAAAAGGCCUCCCUAUUCCUUGAGAGACAGCAAUGUUGAAAUUAGGCCAAUUAAUAACCCUACAAUGGCCUCUAAGUGUUCACAUGAAAGGAAGAAUUGCAUGUCUCUAACUUUAAAUAAAAAACUAGAAAUUACUAAGCUUUGUGAGGAAGGCAUAUUGAAAGCUGAAACAGGUUAAAAGCCAGGCUUCUUGCACCAAACAGUUAGCCAAGUUGUGAAUGCAAAGGAAAAGUUCUUGAAGGAAAUUUAAAGUGCUACUCCGGUGAACGCAUGAAUGAUAAGAAAGCAAAAUAACCUUCUUGCUGAUAUGGAGAAAGGUUGAGUGGUCUGGAUAGAAGAUGAAACCAGCCACACAUUUCCUUAAGCCAAAGCCUAAUCCAGAGCAAAUCCCUAACUCUCUUCAAGUCUAUGAAAUUUGAGAGAAGUAAAGAAGCUUCAGAAGGAAAGUUGGAAGGUAGCAGAGGUUGAUUCAGAGGUUUAAGAAGCCAUUUUUUAUAAAAUAGAAAUGCAAGUUGAAGCAGCAAGUGCUAAUGUACGUGCUUCAGCAAGUUAUCCAGAAGAUCUAGCUAAGAUCAUUGUUGAGGGUGGCUAAACUACAUUUUCAAUGUAGGUGAAACAGCCUCAUAUUGGAAGAAGGUGCCAUCUAGGACUUUCAUAGCUAGAGAGAAGUCACCGCCUGGCUGCAAAGUUUCAAAGGACAGGCUAACUCUCUUGUUAGGGGCUAAUACAGCUGGUGACUUGAAGUUGAAGCCAAUGCUCAUUUACCAUUCUGAAAAUCCUAAGGCUAAAUCUAUUUUGCCUGUGCUCUAUGAAUAGAACAACAAAGCCUAGAUGACAGCACAUCUGUUUACAGCAUGGUUACUGAAUAUUUUAAGCCCACUGCUGAAAGUUACUGCUCAGAAGAAAACAUUUCUUUCAAAAUAUUACUUCUCAUUGACAAUGCACCUGGUCACCCAAGAGCUCUGAUGAAGAUACACAAGGAGAUUAAUGUUGUCUUCAUACUUGGUAACUCAACAUUCAUUCUGCAACCAUGGAUCAAGGAGUAGUUUUGAUUCUCAAGACUCAUUAUUUAAGAAACACAUUUCAUAAGGCUAUAGCUGUCAUAGAUAGUGAUUUAUCUGAUGGAUCUAGACAAGGUAAAUUGAAAACCUUCUGGAAGGGAGUCACCGUUCUAGCUGCCAUCAAGAACAUUAGUGACUCAUGGGAGAAGGCCUAAAUAACAACGUUAAUAGGCAUUUGGAAGAAGUUGGUUCCAACCCUUGUAGAUGACUUGAGGGAUUUACAACUUCAGGGGAGGAAGUUGCUUGUUAUGGAUGAGCAAAGGAAGUGGUUUCUGAGAUGGAAACUACUCCUGGUGAAGACGCUAUGAACAUUGUUGAAAUGACAACAUAGGAUUUAGGGUGUUACAUAAACUUAGUGAAAGAGUGGCAGGGUUUGAGAGGACCGUCUCCAAUUUUGAAAGAAAUUCUACUGUGAGUAAAAUGCUAUCAAACAGCAUCACAUGCUCCAGAGAUUCUCUCAAGAGUCAACUCAUAUGGCACACUUCAUUGUCAUCCUAUUUUAAAAAAUUGCCAAAGCCACCCAGCUGAUCAGCAACCUGAUCAGUUAGCAGUCACCAACAUCAAGGCAAGACCUUCUAACAGCCAAAAGAGUACAACUCAGAUGAUCAUUAGCAUUUUUUAAGCAAUACAGCAUUUUUUUUUUUUUUUGAGAUGGAGUCUGCUCUUGUCGCCCAGGCUGGAGUGCAAUGGCACAAUCUCGGCUCAGUGCAACCUCUGCCUCCCGUGUUCAAGCGAGUCUCCUGCCACAGCCUCCCAAAUAGCUGGGACUACAGGUAUGCACCACCAAGCCUGGCUAAUUUUUAUAUUUUUAGUAGAGAUGGAGUUUCACCAUGUUGACCAGGCUGUUCUUAAACUCCUGACCUCAGAUGAUCUGCCCGCCUUGGCCUCCCAAAGUGCUGGGAUUACAGGCGUGAGCCACCGUGCCUGACCAAUUCAGCAUUUUAAGAUUAAGGCAUGCAGAUUGUUUUUUAGACAUAAUGCCAUUGCACACUUAAUGGACUACAGUGUAGUGUAAACAUAACUUUUUUUUUUUUUUUUUGAGAUGGAAUUUCACUCUUGUUGCCCAGGCUGGAGUGCAGUGGCACGAUCUUGGCUCACCACAACCUCCGCCUUCUGGGUUCAAGCGAUUCUCCUGCCUCAGCCUCCUGAGUAGCUGGGAUUACAGGUAUAUGCCACCACGCCCAGCUAAUUUUUGUAUUUUUAGUUGAGAUGGGGUUUCUCCAUGUUGGUCAGGCUGGUCUCGAGCUCCCGACCUCAGGUGGUCUGCUCACCUUGGCCUCCCCAAGUGCUGGGAUUACAGAUGUGAGCCACUGCACCCGACAGAUAACUUUUAUAUAUACUAGGAAACAAAAAAAUUUAUGUGACUCACUUUACUACAACAUUCAUUUUAUUCCACUGAUCUGGAACUGAACUUGCAGUAUCUCCAAGGUAUGCCUGUACAUCUAUGUAACCAACACUCCAAUUAAGAUAUCAUCCCAGAAACUUCCCACAUGUCCAUUUCAUAUCCCCUUUCAAUCAAUCCUUCCCACCCUGAGGCAACAACUAUUCCAUCACCACAGAUGUUUUUCCUGUCCUUGAACUUGUUAGAAGCACUUUGAAAAGUGAAAGCCACUAUACAAAAUCCAGUAUUAUUACUAUAUCUCAACUAGAUGUUACAUUAUUUAAAAGACCUAGUAUUUUACUUAGUACUGAGCAGAAAGCAUGGUAGACACUGACUCAAUUCAAUAUUGAAUAUAUCUUAAAGUGAGUAAAGUGUAGGGAAAGGGCCUUUGGCCUGGGUUCUGGGAAAGCUGAAUUCGAACCUGCUCUGACUUACCUAACAUUGUGACAUUUAAAACAAAACAAAACAUUUUUUACCUUAAGUGUUUCUUCUACUAAAUAAAGGAGUUGGACUAGAUGAUGUUGUAGAGUACCUUCAUGCUUUCAGAAAUUAUUUAACGAUGAUAAUGGCUAACAUUUAUUGAAUGAUUACUAUAUGUCAGGCACUACUCUAAAUACAUUUAUGAACUCAUUAAUCUUAAUAACGGUCCAACAAGGUAAAUCUUACU